AGCUCCAAUAGCGUAUAUUUAAGUUGCUGCGGUUAAAAAGCUCGUAGUCGGAUUUCGGGUGGUUCCUGCCGGUCCGCCAUGGGUGAGUACUAGCAGGAGCUACCUUUCUGUCGAGGACGGGUUCCUGGACUUAAUUGUCUGGGGCCCGGAGUCGGCGACGUCACUUUGAGUAAAUUAGGGUGUUCAAAGCAGGCUUACGCUCUGUAUACACUAGCAUGGGAUGACACGAUAGGACUUCGGUCUAUCUUGUCGGUCUGUAGAUCGGAGUAAUGAUUAAGAGGGACAGUCGGGGGCAUUCGUAUUUCGUAGUCAGAGGUGAAAUUCUUGGAUUUACGGAAGACGAACUUCUGCGAAAGCAUUUGCCAAGGAUGUUUUCA
rnacentral:rRNA from 1 species